rnacentral:rRNA from 1 species
UACGAAGGAUCCAAGCGUUAUCCGGAUUUAUUGGGUUUAAAGGGUGCGUAGGCGGACUAUUAAGUCAGUGGUGAAAGCCUGCAGCUUAACUGCAGAACUGCCAUUGAUACUGAUGGUCUUGAGUACAUUUGAGGUGGGCGGAAUGUGUCAUGUAGUGGUGAAAUACUUAGAUAUGACACAGAACACCAAUUGCGAAGGCAGCUCACUAAGCAAAUAUUGACGCUGAGGCACGAAAGCGUGGGGAUCAAACAGG